AGACCGUUUCAAUAAACAAUCUUAUCUUUAGUCACAGACUUAGUCCUAACUUUUGACUUAGGACCAAAUUGUACUCUCGAAUUGAAGUUAAAAAAUAUAGCGCACGCGCUGUUUGCCGCAAUAUGUCAUUCGUCUGCGACAAAAUAAGGGAAGCGCCGCAGGAAAGCUACAGAACAGAUCGGACUCUGAAUACCUUGUUCUUACAGAGGCUGUAAAGAUCUUUCUCCCAGUAAGAAGGAAAAACAUGCUCCUUUUGUUACCAAUAGCGCUUAAUGGAGUGUCUGGGAGUCGGUGGUUGAUCGGUAACUUUUGACAUUUCUGUGUUAAUUUUUCUUUCGUAUAGACUUUAGUCAUAUUUAACAAGGGAAGCAACUAGAUUUUGAAAAAAGCGGAAAUAUUUUUAUGAUGUUCAAUUCCGGAGGAAAAUCAGAUUUAAUUAAGAGUUGGCUGCAUGAUGUGUCAGUCAUGUAACCGGCAUAUUCAUCUAUGUGCAGAAGUGAUGGCUGGAUACAGAAUUAUUUAUUAGUUGGACAACAGUGAAUACAGGUCACAGCAUGCUGAUAGAGAUCCUCAGCUCAUAUGGUAGCCAGGGUUUAGCAGUGAGCUGACUCAAAAGAUGCCAUUUAGUGAUUUAAUGUGGAUAAUCCAUUCAGAUCAUUCACCAAUGAUGUACAACACUGAUGGAACUGAAGGCAAUACUUGCACUGACAGUCAGGGCUGGUUAUUUAAAGUAUAUAUAAUUAGAUGUACCUCCUGAUGUACCUCCUUAAAUACGAGAUUUCUGCCAUGUGAAAGGAGCAAGUUGAAAGAAGCACUGUUGGAGAUGGGGUCCAUGAACCUUAUGUAUACAGCUAUAUGAACAAGGGCUGGAACAAAGCAGACAAGACUGGACUUUUAAUUGUUAAUGAAUAUUUUAAGUUGUAUUGUAUGUCACCAGUAUAAUAGGGUUAUUAUAAAAGUAGUUAGAUCUUGGAUGUGGUAUUUGGCUUGGAGUGCAUUUUGCCAGACCUGGAACACACGAGGCCUGCAAGCGCAAAGUCUGACCCGCUGUGGUAAAAUCGCCAAAGGCCUAAUACAACCUCCCAGAUCAAGCUACUGUUAUAAUCGUACUUUAAUUCUUUAUCUCCAUGUACUAAAAAUCAUUUCACAAAAAUACCCUAGCGUUACAGGCGAUAUAUUAAAUUUGGUACGCCUUUAAAGUUUAAAUUGAUGUUGUUGUUCUUGUUUAUACACAAUUGAUUACCGUGCCUUGUUUACAUGUGGGAUUUAUUGUUUGAAAAUGAAAUAAAAAUGUUUAAAAUGAAAAAGAAAAUGUCAUUAUCAAAAGCUUGCACUUUUAUGUUAAGGGAGUAGUGACAGGAAAUUUUCCAUUUUUUGUAGCUCAACCUGAUCACAAAGUGCUCAGGGGUGAGUAAUUGUUGUCACUCAUUGCAUGUCUAUCCGCCCGUCCAUACUUUUCUUAACCUACAUCUCUUAAAUCAUUUGGUGGCAGGCAGAUGAUGAAACUUGGCUUGGAUGUCCUCUGGAUAUUCCUGCCUUUCCCUAGGGAAAAACCUUGUCUAAAGUACUGUAACUAUUAUGACAUCAUAAACUAUAUAAAUUUUGUCAGGAAAACACAGAUCUAUUUGCCUCCAUGAUCUAAUUUUAACGUGAUGAGCAAGAAAAAUUAUCUAACAUGUCUGCAUGUGUAAGACAGCUGUUUCCCUAUCCUCGGGACAGCUCGGAUAAUGCUUGGUUUUUCAUUCCACACUAUCCCUUGUGGUAUAGAAAAACCUGUCUUACAUCGGCAGGCAUGUAAGAUCCUUAUAGUCUUGUUAUGCAUAUUAUUGGUAUGCUCAGCUUCAGUGCUUUUCAGUGAAGUUCUAUUGAUUUGUUAUAUUUUAUCUUGUUUAUACUACUUGCUGUAAACAAUUAGGCUGAAUUUCACCAAAUCUCGCAAGUGAUUAGUGUGGAGCAAAGUUGUGCAUAUUAUCUUCAUGUUCUAAUAAAUAAUUUUUAUCAGAGUCAUGACCCUUGAUUUGUCAGAAUCUUUGAUCUGUGCUACUUCUCCUAUAUCACACUAAGGGUUAAAAUGGCAUUUUUAGACAUUUUUUGUUUUUAUUAGCUCACCAGAGCCAAAGGCUCAGGGUGAGCUAUUAGGAUCACUCACCGUCCGUCAUCCGUUGUCCGUAAACUUUUACUUCAAACAACAUCUCCUCAUU
rnacentral:lncRNA from 1 species